rnacentral:rRNA from 1 species
AACGAACGCUGGCGGCAUGCCUAACACAUGCAAGUCGAACGAGACCUUCGGGUCUAGUGGCGCACGGGUGCGUAACGCGUGGGAACCUGCCCUUAGGUUCGGAAUAACUCCCCGAAAGGGGUGCUAAUACCGGAUAAUGUCUUCGGACCAAAGAUUUAUCGCCUUUGGAUGGGCCCGCGUUGGAUUAGCUAGUUGGUAGGGUAAAAGCCUACCAAGGCGACGAUCCAUAGCUGGUCUGAGAGGAUGAUCAGCCACACUGGGACUGAGACACGGCCCAGACUCCUACGGGAGGCAGCAGUGGGGAAUAUUGGACAAUGGGCGAAAGCCUGAUACAGCAAUGCCGCGUGAGUGAUGAAGGCCUUAGGGUUGUAAAGCUCUUUUAACCGGGAUGAUAAUGACAGUACCGGGAGAAUAAGCGCCGGCUAACUCCGUG